GUCUACGGCCAUGCCACCCUGAACAAGCCUGAUCCCGUCUGAUUUCUGAAGCUAAGCAGGGUCGGGCCUGGUUAGUACUUGGAUGGGAGACCACCUAGGAAGACCAGGUGCUAUAGACC
rnacentral:rRNA from 1 species